rnacentral:rRNA from 1 species
UACGGAGGGUGCAAGCGUUGUUCGGAAUCAUUGGGCGUAAAGCGGGUGUAGGCGGUUACGCAUGUCCGAUGUGAAAGCCCGGGGCUUAACCCCGGAAGUGCAUUGGAAACUGCGUGACUUGAGUCUCGGAGAGGAUGGUGGAAUUCCUGGUGUAGAGGUGAAAUUCGUAGAUAUCAGGAGGAACACCGGUGGCGAAGGCGACCAUCUGGACGAUGACUGACGCUGAGACCCGAAAGCGUGGGGAGCAAACAGG